UGAGGUCACCCUCUCAGCAGUCUGGAGACCCUCCAGUUGGCAGGGCAAUGGGUACACGAGCAGCACAUCUGUUAUUUUGUAGCGUGGUGCUGGACUGGGCAAGGUAGGACAAACAGGGUGAGAUACAUAGGAAUUUCGUUCCACACACAAUGACAUAAGUUAUUGACUAAGUGACAUCCAGGGGUGAAUGGAGGACGAGGGUUGGGGGAUUGGAGCCUCGCACAAGGACACCAAGAUAAUGAAAUUAUGUAUUUUACUGCACACGGAUACAGUCUCUGUCUCUCUCUUUCUCUCACUCUCACUGUCUGCCAACAAUUUAUUUUAAGGGUUCGUAAUAAACUAUUGAUAAUGCAUUAUACAUUGUGUGUAUACCAUUUGUUAAUCAUUACUCUCAUAUUUAUCAACCAUUUACUAAUCAUUUAAUAAUCAAGUCUUUUUGUAGUCCCUAAUCUAAAGUGAGUGCUAUUUAAUACUUAAAAAUACUUUCUAAAUGUUUUCAGGGAUGGUGUUAUUUCCCACAAAAGAUGGGCAUGCCAUUGGUAGACAUUCCUGCAGUACCUGGUAAAAGAAUAAGCACACAACACAGGAUAUUUUAGGAAAUCCAGGUUGCAUUUGUAUUUUUGUUCAGUAUAUAUGUGACGUGCCAGGGAACGUUACCACCACACCACGGCUCUGCACACCACCAUUGUUAUGAACAGAGUGGCUGCGGAUCCAACUUUUUUGGACCAUUCUUCCUGACAGGUCCCAAAGCUUCUGUGCAUGUGCCGUAUUCUCAACUUUAUGCACAGUCUCUGCUCUGCGCUACAGGUGGCUAUAUCAGUCCGCUAAUACAGGACUAGUAAAGACCCAGUGCACUACUUUUGUGAAGAUCCCCCCCCUCAGCACCCCUACUUCCCUCUGCUAUGUUUAAGUGCAUUUCCCAUGAAACUGAUUUGAGAUCAAUGGUUGGUAUGCAGAUGCUGCAUGGACGUUUACCUGUAAAACAUGAAGAAUUAUCAUUCAAGAUUGACAGUGAGAAACGUAAAGGGAGGGUGACCACAAAAACGUGGUUCAGAUCUUCAGCUCCGGGGUAAAGAAAUCCAGGGGGGCAGGAAGGGGCGGUUACCUACAGAUCCGCAGCCUCGGCCUAUAGCCUAAAUUACAGGACAUGAGAGGAGUAGAAUUAGCUAUGUUCUCAUUACAGGACUGGUUCAAAAAAAUGGCAGGCUUUUUUCUACGCCAAAUCAGUCUUGUGAUGUUGAAUUGAUUUUGGAAAUACUGAAUUAUCACCUGGUCCUCGUGUGAAUAGAAAGGGGUACACUCUGUGUGGCAGGCAAGCCCAGAAGCCAUGCAGUGUUUUGGUUGUGUAAUGUGCAUCGUGGAUCAUGUGGAUGGUGUGUGGAGGUAUACAUCCUCGAGGCGGCAUGACUACCAAGGUGAACAGAACCGUUCCACAGUGACAUUUGCUUGCACACCGUGUGUGUGAGCUCACCAGUCACGGUCCAGGCUCUCUUAUUAUCACUGUGAUCGAUGUGUGUGCAAUGGUUAUCUGGGACAUUGCAUCACUUGGGCUCGGUGGGUGCAGAGUCAAUGGAUACUACUGUAGCUUCCACUCCUCCCCAUCGAUCCUUACUCUUGUGAUGGAAUGACUGUGUUGUUGCUCUCCGCACAGGAUAGAGGAGACUGGGGACAACUGUAACACAACUGACCCAUGUUACAUUUGGCCCUGCUCUCCACUACAAAUUCUUAGCAGUAUCCCCUUGAAUAUUCAAUGUCCAUUAUUAAUUAACCUUCAUUUGCAUUCUGUGUUGUUUUUCUCUCUAGUGGUGCAAUGUCAAUGUGUGUAUUGGCACAGCCUAGUCAAGGUGCCUCCCAUCCCUCUGCAGUCAUUAAACCUGAAAGACACUGUAAACAACAAGGCUUUGGAAAGAGCCUUAGGAUGUGUUCCAAUAUCCACACUAGAAUGCAUGCCAGUACAUUGCUUCAUUGUAAGUGGUAUGCUAGUAUUGGAACAGAGCCUUAAUGUAAGCAAAUGGUUUUACUAUCCAGUUUUCUGCCCACUACAUUAUGUUUACAGUAGUAUAUCCCAGCAGAGGUCCUCCUAACUCCACUGCUUUUCUGUGCUCCUCUCCCAGAGGCUCCUCUCCCAGAAGCUCCUCUCUAACCGCCUGGGCCCAUAUUCAGACAUCUUCCAAGAGUGCUGAUCUAAGAUCAGGUCCUCAAUGUCUAUAUACACUGAGUGUACAAAAAUAUUGAGUUGCCCUCAGAACAGACUCAAUUUGUCGGGGCAUGUACCCUGCAAGGUGUCAAAAGCGUUCCACAGGGAUGUUGGCCGAUGUUGACUCCAAUGCUUCCCACAGUUGUCAAGUUGGCUAUUUGGAUGGUGUUCCAUUCUCGAUACACACGGGAAAGUGUUGCGCAUGAAAAACCCAGCAGCGUUGCAGUUCUUGACACACUCAAACUGAUGCGCCUGGCACUUACUACCAUACCCUGUUCAAAGGCACGUAAAUCUUUUGUCUUGCCCAUUCACCCUCUGAAUGGCACAUAUACACAAUCCGUCUUAAUUGUCUUAAAAAUACUUAUUUAACCUGUCUCCUCCCCUUCAUCUACACUGAUUGAAGAGGAUUUAACAAGUGACAUAAUUAAGGGAUCAUAGCUUUUACUUAGAUUCACCUGGUCAGUUUAUGUCAUGGACAGAGCAGGUGUUCCUGAUGUUUGUACACUCAGUGUAAUUCUUAUUCAGUAUGAUUUAAAAGGCCAAACUGAUCCUGUAUCAGCAGCUCUGGAUCACCAUGCCAAUUCUAAUAAAUACUGGUCGGAGAGCAGCAGCCCCACAUUCCACACCCCCACCCCACACACACACACACACACACACACACACACACACACACACACACACACACACACACACAGACACCGCAGCCCUACAUUCCAGAACAACAAGAACUUCCCUUAAUCUGCCUCGGAGUCAGAGAUGGAGCAACAGUUGGUGGGCGGGAUGCGUGAGAGGGCUGUUGGGAGACUACCAGAGGAGAGGAGAGCUCCCCGCUGGCAGCAGUGUGAUGUGUAUGUAAAACGCUGGGAAUGUUGAAAUUGGAUUGAUUCUCUACUCGUAGCUCUCCAGGCAGCUCUAUAAUGAACCACUGACUGAGAAGCAGAUUUUGGCAGUUGUGAUGGUUUUUCCCAAAGAUGCAGGGAAACAGAUCCUAUUACGUUGUUUUUCCCAUAAUGUCGUGUGUGUGUGUGUGUGUGUGUGUGUGUGUAUAUUUGGUUUGUGGAAGGGCGCCUGUUGAACUUGGAAAUGCUUUGCAGAUGUGCAGAAUGUCUAUAGUUGAGCCCUGUUGCCAUUUUUCUGCCAAUUGACUGUUGUUGGCAGAGAGAUGGACAUAAUUCACCUUGUAAGAGGGUUUGAUGGGUUGGUUUCCCACCCUGUACAGAUCUGUGUUAUUUGCAGGGCAGGUUUUGUGAAUGCAUUGCUGUUAUCAUACACAGUAUGCCUCUUAUGUUAUUGACUGAUAGAUUGAUAGAGCCAUGUUAAUAGUAAUGGCUCCAGUGGGGAUUUGCGCUGACGUGGCCCACACACAGGUAGCAGACUGAAGUGGUCUGGACAGGAAUGUUGGAAGUGGCCUAUGGCCGUGCUUUUCUCUCUUGCUGCUGGUCGCUAGCCUCAAUUGAUUGCUUUAAUUUGGCCUGUAAUGUGCCAUGACAAUAUAUUGCUGACUAUGUACCUGUCCAGGUUAUCCACUUCUGAUAGUGAUGUUUUGAGCUGAUAAAGCUGAUAAAAUGAAGUGAAUUGAUGUAACAUUGUUGAAUUUGUGACUUGAGUAGGGCAUGUUUUACAUGUAUUUUUAUACAUUUAUGAAUCUCAACGCACCCUGAGAACACAGAUGGUCUCUCCUAAGAGAUUGUGGGAUGUGAAUAUGUUUUGGCCUCUGUUAUUAUUAAACCCAUGUACUGUAUCUGUUACGGUACAUUAAAAUCCCCUGCUAACUAUGAUGUAAUCACUCUGUUGGUAUGGAUUUACAGUACAGGGGUGCGUAGGGAGGUAGCCCUUUCCUGCAGCCAAAUUACCUAGUGGCCUCAUGGGUGGAAUGUUAUUAAUACACCGAAAAUCUGGUCUUUGUUUUAAAACAGUUUUGUUAUUUCAGUCUUCUGUGAUGUAUAUAAAGUGUAAUAUUGGGAUGCAAACUCAAAAUGUAACACAUUUCAACUUUAUGACAUGGUACAGGUGUCUUCUUUUUUUAAGCGCGUCACCAUGUGUGUGAGGUGUAUACUUUUGUUUCAAACUAGAUUUGUUUAAGACUACCAAGAAACACUGUGUGACCCUGAUUUAGCCCACUGCAGUAAAAUGUUAAUAAUGACGCCUUCUACACCCAUAGAAGACCAAAAGAGGAGACAUUUCAAUUUAAAAAAAUAAUAAGUGACUGAAAAGAGCGUCUUGUCUGCACUCAAGCGGUCGCGCGUAUCGUCAUUCCGCAAACAAAUAAAUCAUGCUUCUUGUGAUUUGUAAUUACCCAAAGAUAUGCCGCAAGAAGGAAAGGUCUUCAAAGUGUCCAGCACACCACAAACUGUGUCAUGCAGUGAGUAUUGAGAGGAACCAACAUUUUGGACAGUGACAUACACUAUAUGUCCAAAAGUAUGUGGACACCCCUACUAAUUACUGAAUUCAGGUGUUUCAGCCACACCCAUUGCUAACAGGUGCAUAAAAUCCAGCUAAGCCUUUAGUUCCAGUGACGGGUCAUCUUAAUGCUACAGGAUACAAAGACAUUUUAGACAAUUGGGUGCUUCCAACUUUGUGGAAACAGUUUGGGAAAGGCACUUUCCUGUUCCAGCAUGACUGUGCCCCACAGACACACUCCAAAAUCUUGUGGAAAGCCUUCCCAGAUGAGUGGCGGCUGUUAUAGCCGCAAAGGGGGGCCAAGUCCAUAUGAAUGCCCAUGGUUUUGGCCUGUGGUUUUGGAAUGGGAUGUCCAACAAGCUCAUAUAGGUGGGAUGGCCAGGUGUCCACAUACGUUUGGCCAUAUAGUGUAUUUAGAAUAUCAUCAAAUUUCAUUUCAAAUCUGAGGUGGACAAGUACAGAUCUAAAAUGUCUGUCACUGUCCAUUUAUCUUUGGUGUUGACUGUAAUAGCAUAUUGAAUUCACAUACCUGAGUUUUAUCUAAUCUUCUACAACUUCCUACAGGCCUACCAGCCAAAACAACAACUGGUGGAGUAGCGCUACCUGCAGCAUCCAGUCUCCAACAAAAGGAAUCUGCAUCCACAAGUCCUGCGCAGUCUCAAGAGAUAAUUACAAUGAUGUCUGCAUUUCAAACAAAGGUACUGCUGAAGCUACACAUUAUAAUUUAGAACCAGUGAGAGCAACUGAGGCUCCUUAAUCCUACAAGGCCAUCGACCACAGCUGAGGACCUCGACAUUCUGCCAUCACCGUUAGACUCUGUGGCUGACCUGAAGCUACUGUGUUAGUGGAUCUCAACAGAGGAGAAUUUUUGCAAACAGUUGGUAUGUUCUCACUGCAAGUACUGUCAGACAUAUCAGUAAUCAAAUGGUCAAUUACUCAACUAGACAUCCUAUCUCAGUAUGUAUGGGUCUAACACAUUGGAGAAGACUAUGAGGAGGAUGAUAGGGCGCAUUGGGACCAACAGACUGUGGUCCCAGUUCAGUAUGAAAGGGAGAAAAAAGUUGGCAUUCGAAGACCUGCCUCUGUUAAGUCAUGGCAAAGGCCUGCAGCAGAUGCCACAGAGGCCAAAAUAACUGAGUAUGAGACCAAAAUCGGUGAAUGCAUGAAGCAUGCGCCAUUUAAGAACGGGGGCAACAAAUACAGAUCAAAGACCACAGCACCUGAAAUGAUGGAGAGAGACGGAAGCCCAAGAGAGAGAAGGAGCACAAGCACGGUGUCGACCCUAAUGCUUUUUGACUAAAGAGGACAUUUUGUAUCUCCAGUGAUUUUAUUAAACGGGUCCAGUGGUAAAAAAAAGGGAAAUACUAGGGAAAUAGUAAUGUAAUUAUUUGCUAAUCCAAUUAUAGUUCAUCAAUAGUUAGUAAUUAACAGUUUUAUAUUGUAUGUUGUAUUUCCUUGUUGGUUAAAUAAUUAAAAUGUUAUUUAUAAUAGUCCCCUUUUUAGUCAUGUAAAUAGUUACCAAUCCAAGUAUAGUUAAUCAAGAGUUAGUAAUUAACAGUUUUAUAUUGUAUUUCCUUGUUGGUAAUUUAAAAAAAGAUAUAUAUAGUCUUUAUUAGUUAAAGCCAUCAUCGCAUAUAACACCUAUUACCGUUAACCAACGUUUGUUAAACAUUGGCAAACGUUGAUGGACGUUUCAAACCCAACCAAACCAACGUUGUAAAAUACAACUAUUAUAAACAUCUGCCAAUUAUUUGUUAAAUGUUGGUGGAUGUUCAUUAACAUUUAAAAGGAACUAAUAGCCAACGUUGUAAAUUACACUAAUACCAACGUUAACCAAAACGUUGAUGACACCUACGAAAUAUGUUUACAAAACGUAAUCUGUCCCCUACACUUUAACCAAAACCUAACAUUUAUCUGAAUGCAUUCAGAAUGUUUAGACAACCAAUCCAAUACCUACAUUUUUAUUUUUUAUUUAUAAAACCCAUUUUUGCUACCUGGGUGAUGAAUGACAGUGCCAACAUACUUGUUUUAUUACAUAGGAAAGUAUAAUGUGUUGUGUUUGAUUACUGUCUUGCCGAAUUAAAAGCAUGUCUUGUGAAGGCUUGUAGGCUGCAUUUUGACAGGCUGUUUCGAAGACAGUCACAACCCAAGUCUCAUGUGAGUACCGAAAAGACUCCCAGCUGAGUUGCAUAUGAGUACCCAAGAGAGUCCCAUGGUACUCAUGUCCAAUAGCUGUACCAAAACAGAUUGGGCACCAGGUACCAUGACAACUGCAUCCUUCAGAGACAAUAAGUAGUUUGUAUUCAAUGAGCUACAUGUUUAUGUAUGUUGUGUAUGAUCACAACAACGGAAUCAUUAUUUUCAAAACAGAAACUCUUAUCUAAAGUAACCUCAACCACUGUUUUAAUUAUCUAACAGCUUUUCAUUCAUGUUCAUUUGAAGUUUGGUACACGCUUCCUAAUGAUGGUGUUUCUUUGAUCACACUGGAGCGUGUGUGUUUGUCUACCACCAGCAGAAUAAAUACCAGUUGUUUUUCUCUUUCAUUAUGCAGAUAAUCUCACAUUGAUUAACAAAGCUCAUUACAAUUUCCAAUGCAGCACAAGCUGCUGAUCUGAGUUCUAUAGCGCUAUAGGAUCUAACAACCUGCCAUGUUGAGGAGUAAACUGCUUGUCUGUUUUCUCUUACUCUCUUUUCAGAUAUCUGAGUCAUUCUACAUUAUCCUUGACUGAUAUACCUUUCUGCUGUUUUUCAAGGAGGAAACACAUACCUGCAGGUUCAUGAGCAUGCAUGUAUGGCCCAGUACAUCACUGGGGCCAAGCUUCCUGCCAUCCAGGACCUCUAUACUAGGCGGUGUCAGAGGAAGGGCCAAAAAUGGUCAAAGGCUCCAGUCACCCAAGUCAUAGAUUGUUCUCUCUUCUUCUGCACGGCAAGCGGUACCGGAGCGCCAAGUCUAGGUCCAAAACGGUCAUGCCCUGAUCUGUUUCACCUGUCCUUGUGCCUGUCUCCACCCCCUGCAGGUGUCUCCCAUCUUCCCCACUUAUCCUCUGGGUAUUUAUACCUGUGUUUUCUGCCAAUUUGUCUUGUUUGUUCAAACCUACCAGCGUUUUGUGUCUCAGCACCUGCCUUUUCGAGUUUCUCUUUUCUCGCCCUCCUGGUUUUGACCCUUGCCUGUCCUGACUCCGAGCCCGCCUGCCUGACCACUCUGCCUGUCCGUGACCCUGCCGUCCUGUACCUUUGCUCCACCCCUGGAUUACUGUACUCUCCCUGUCCGUGACCCUGAGCCUGCCUGCCGUCCUGUACCUUUGCUCCACCCCUGGAUUACUGUACUCUCCCUGUCCAUGACCCUGAGCCUGCCUGCCGUCCUGUACCUUUGCUCCACACCUGGCUUAUCGACCCCUGCCUGCCUUGACCUGUCUUUUGCCUGCCCCUGUUGUUACAAUAAACAUUGUUACUUCAAACAGUCUGCACUUUGGUUUUACCUUGAUCCCUGAUAAAAACUCUGCUUAACAUCUUCUACCCCAAGGCAUAAGACUGCUG
rnacentral:lncRNA from 1 species